rnacentral:rRNA from 1 species
AUGCGUGCGAGGGGAGUCGACAGCUGCACCAACGCCCCAUGGAAGAGCAGUAGGCGUCGCUUUGCAAUGCAGUGGUGCAGUUCGAUUAAAUCCCCCCACUUCUUCCACAUCCCCUCGUCCGUCCUUGGAGCAGCACGGGCUUGGUGGUGUAGUACAACACGGCGAAUGGCUGCAGUUUGCUGUGUAAUAAUGCGGCUUUUUCAGAUUUCAUCGGGCACAAAAAUUGUAGUCUUUAUCUUCGAUGCAGUGCUGCCUUGUUUCGUGUUGAAUCUGCAGUUGCUAAAAGAGCACCAUGGCUAG